rnacentral:rRNA from 1 species
AAUCCAUAGGUUAAUGAGGCGAACCGGGGGAACUGAAACAUCUAAGUACCCCGAGGAAAAGAAAUCAACCGAGAUUCCCCCAGUAGCGGCGAGCGAACGGGGAGGAGCCCAGAGCCUGAAUCAGCAUGUGUGUUAGUGGAAGCGUCUGGAAAGGCGCGCGAUACAGGGUGACAGCCCCGUACACAAAAGCGCAUGUGCUGUGAGCUCGAUGAGUAGGGCGGGACACGUGGUAUCCUGUCUGAAUAUGGGGGGACCAUCCUCCAAGGCUAAAUACUCCUGACUGACCGAUAGUGAACCAGUACCGUGAGGGAAAGGCGAAAAGAACCCCGGCGAGGGGAGUGAAAAAGAACCUGAAACCGUGUACGUACAAGCAGUGGGAGCACCCUUUGGGGUGUGACUGCGUACCUUUUGUAUAAUGGGUCAGCGACUUAUAUUCUGUAGCAAGGUUAACCGUAUAGGGGAGCCGGAGGGAAACCGAGUCUUAAUUGGGCGUUAAGUUGCAGGGUAUAGACCCGAAACCCGGUGAUCUAGCCAUGGGCAGGUUGAAGGUUGGGUAACACUAACUGGAGGACCGAACCGACUAAUGUUGAAAAAUUAGCGGAUGACCUGUGGCUGGGGGUGAAAGGCCAAUCAAACCGGGAGAUAGCUGGUUCUCCCCGAAAGCUAUUUAGGUAGCGCCUCGUGAAUUCAUCUCCGGGGGUAGAGCACUGUUUCGGCUAGGGGGCCAUCCCGGCUUACCAACCCGAUGCAAACUGCGAAUACCGGAGAAUGUUAUCACGGGAGACACACGGCGGGUGCUAACGUCCGUCGUGAAGAGGGAAACAACCCAGACCGCCAGCUAAGGUCCCAAAGUCAUGGUUAAGUGGGAAACGAUGUGGGAAGGCCCAGACAGCCAGGAUGUUGGCUUAGAAGCAGCCAUCAUUUAAAGAAAGCGUAAUAGCUCACUGGUCGAGUCGGCCUGCGCGGAAGAUGUAACGGGGCUAAACCAUGCACCGAAGCUGCGGCAGCGACACUCAGGUGUUGUUGGGUAGGGGAGCGUUCUGUAAGCCUGUGAAGGUGGCCUGUGAGGGUUGCUGGAGGUAUCAGAAGUGCGAAUGCUG